AGAUGAGGUAGAGGAGCAGGAAACAAGAGUACAUUAUGUGAGUAUGACAACGAUGAUCAUAAUGGAAAGGGUUUUUUGCCGAAGUGAAUGUACGCAGUCAGGCGUCAUUUGCUGGUAUUACUUUGAAUAAGAGUAAUACUGUCAUUAUAGAGUUUCAUUUAGGACUUUGUUCUUAAAUGUAAACAACACGUUUUUAUUCUAUAAUGGAGGGCUACUGAUCGG
rnacentral:ncRNA from 1 species